AAACAAAGAGGCGAACAUCCAUUCUUGCCCCCUAUAAGUAGCUCAUCACAUCACACUAAGUUUAUUCUCUACUAGAGAGUUGUACGAAACCAUUCAGUUCAACUAAUUUGAGCAGAAUUAUUACACUAUUCGUAAUGAAGAUCGGUGUGAUCAUGUUUGUUGGGCUGAUUUUUAUCAACUUAUGCACCUGCAUGCCAAGAAAUGUGGCGAACCAUGGAUCUCACGAUGCAACUGUGCCACACAAGGAGAUGCGCAAUUUGAUGUCUAGCACUGAUGGAAGGAAUGGGCCUCCGAGCAACGAUCACCAGUGCCCACUUGGAACCUACCCUAAUUGCCAAGGGGUGUCCCAGAAUACUCAAGAAGCAGCUCUAGAUGUUGGAGGAAACUAAGGGAAACUGAGGGAUUAUGAGAUGGAAUUAAUACCCCCAGUUUAUGUUGCUUUUACUUCCACGUACGGAGUCAUUUGGCUUGAGAUAUGCUCCAUGUUGUCAAUGUUUCUGCACAGUCCGUCCAUACCACCCUAUAUCAUAAUUGCCCUAUAUGCUACACACCAUCAAGUUCUCAGGAAUGUACCUAUCCUGUAUGCCACUGAUGUACAGGUUGAAUUGACAGAUACUCAUAUGUGUGUGAUACUUGAGUAAAAUAUUUUCGAAGCUAA